AUUGAACGCUGGCGGCAUGCCUUACACAUGCAAGUCGAACGGUAACAGGUCUUCGGAUGCUGACGAGUGGCGAACGGGUGAGUAAUACAUCGGAACGUGCCUAGUAGUGGGGGAUAACUACUCGAAAGAGUGGCUAAUACCGCAUGAGAUCUACGGAUGAAAGCAGGGGAUCGCAAGACCUUGUGCUACUAGAGCGGCCGAUGGCAGAUUAGGUAGUUGGUGGGAUAAAAGCUUACCAAGCCGACGAUCUGUAGCUGGUCUGAGAGGACGAUCAGCCACACUGGGACUGAGACACGGCCCAGACUCCUACGGGAGGCAGCAGUGGGGAAUUUUGGACAAUGGGCGAAAGCCUGAUCCAGCAAUGCCGCGUGCAGGAUGAAGGCCUUCGGGUUGUAAACUGCUUUUGUACGGAACGAAAAGCCCUGGGUUAAUACCCUGGGGUCAUGACGGUACCGUAAGAAUAAGCACCGGCUAACUACGUGCCAGCAGCCGCAGUAAAAC
rnacentral:rRNA from 1 species